GACCUCUGGCAAAGAAGGGGAAGGAGAGGCAAGUCCGACUAUGGAAAGAGAGAAGCGGGGCUUUGUUAUGAUGGGCAGAUGCUCGCCCUGCAGCCUUCCCAAGGUAGCCCUGGAGAAGGUUCCUGGAUGCCGAGUUCCCAGAACUCCUCCCAGAGAUGUUCCAAGCACUCCGGCCACAAAUAUAGAUGUGAACUUACCCGAGAC